GACGAAGGGGGCUAGCGUUGUUCGGAAUUACUGGGCGUAAAGCGUGUGUAGGCGGUUAUCCAAGUCGGGUGUGAAAGCCUUGAGCUCAACUCAAGAAAUGCACUCGGUACUGGGUGACUAGAGGACCGGAGAGGAUAGUGGAAUUCCCAGUGUAGUGGUGAAAUACGUAGAGAUUGGGAAGAACACCAGUGGCGAAGGCGGCUAUCUGGACGGUUUCUGACGCUAAGACGCGAAAGCGUGGGGAGCAAACAGG
rnacentral:rRNA from 1 species